rnacentral:rRNA from 1 species
CCUACGGGAGGCAGCAGUGGGGAAUAUUGGACAAUGGGCGAAAGCCUGAUCCAGCAAUGCCGCGUGAGUGAUGAAGGCCUUAGGGUUGUAAAGCUCUUUUACCAGGGAUGAUAAUGACAGUACCUGGAGAAUAAGCUCCGGCUAACUCCGUGCCAGCAGCCGCGGUAAUACGGAGGGAGCUAGCGUUAUUCGGAAUUACUGGGCGUAAAGCGUACGUAGGCGGUUAUUCAAGUCAGAGGUGAAAGCCCGGGGCUCAACCCCGGAACUGCCUUUGAAACUAGAUAACUAGAGUCUUGGAGAGGUUAGUGGAAUUCCGAGUGUAGAGGUGAAAUUCGUAGAUAUUCGGAAGAACACCAGUGGCGAAGGCGACUAACUGGACAAGUACUGACGCUGAGGUACGAAAGCGUGGGGAGCAAACAGGAUUAGAUACCCUGGUAGUCCACGCCGUAAACGAUGAUAACUAGCUGUCCGGGCACUUGGUGCCUGGGUGGCGCAGCUAACGCAUUAAGUUAUCCGCCUGGGGAUACGGUCGCAAGAUUAAAACUUAAAUGAAUUGACGG